rnacentral:rRNA from 1 species
CGGGGUGAACUUGGCGCUGACGAGUGGCGGACGGGUGAGUAAUGCAUAGGAAUCUGCCCAGUAGUGGGGGAUAACGUAGAGAAAUUUACGCUAAUACCGCAUGUGUCCUACGGGACAAAGCAGGGGACCUUCGGGCCUUGCGCUAUUGGAUGAGCCUAUGUUGGAUUAGCUAGUUGGUAGAGUAAAAGCCUACCAAGGCGACGAUCCAUAGCUGGUCUGAGAGGAUGAUCAGCCACACUGGAACUGAGACACGGUCCAGACUCCUACGGGAGGCAGCAGUGGGGAAUAUUGCACAAUGGGCGAAAGCCUGAUGCAGCAAUGCCGCGUGUGUGAAGAAGGCCUGCGGGUUGUAAAGCACUUUUAUUAGGAAAGAAAAACUUGGGGAUAAUACCCCCAAGCCUUGACGGUACCUAAUGAAUAAGCACCGGCUAACUCAGUGCCAGCAGCCGCGGUAAUACUGAGGGUGCAAGCGUUAAUCGGAAUUACUGGGCGUAAAGCGAGUGUAGGCGGUUACGUAAGUCGGAUGUGAAAUCCCCGGGCUUAACCUGGGAAUUGCAUUCGAUACUGCGUAGCUAGAGUUUGGUAGAGGUAAGUGGAAUUCCGGGUGUAGCGGUGAAAUGCGUAGAUAUCCGGAGGAACAUCAGUGGCGAAGGCGGCUUACUGGACCAAAACUGA